AAUGGACGAACAAAAU
rnacentral:sRNA from 1 species